UUGAUCCUGGCUCAGAAUCAACGCUGGCGGCGUGCCUCAGACAUGCAAGUCGAACGCGAAAGUCCCCUUCGGGGGACGAGUAGAGUGGCGCACGGGUGAUUAACACGUGGGUAAUCUACCUCUGGGUGGGGAAUAACAGCCGGAAACGGUUGCUAAUACCGCAUAAUGCAGCGGCACCACAUGGUGACAGUUGUUAAAGUGGGGGAUCGUAAGACCUCGCGCCUAGAUGAGGAGCCCGCGGCGGAUUAGUUAGUUGGUAGGGUAACGGCCUACCAAGGCGACGAUCCGUAGCCGGCCUGUGAGGGCGGACGGCCACACUGGCACUGACACACGGGCCAGACUCCUACGGUAGGCAGCAGUCGGGAAUUUUGGGCAAUGGGCGAAAGCCUGACCCAGCAAUGCCGCGUGAAGGAUGAAGCUUUUCGGAGUGUAAACUUCAUAAGAAUGGGUCGAAUAAGGAGGGGUUAACACCCCCUUUGAUGACGGUACCAUUUGUAAGUUCCGGCUAACUCCGUGCCAGCAGCCGCGGUAAUAAGGU
rnacentral:rRNA from 1 species